AAAGUCUAAAACGACUCUCGGCAACGGAUAUCUCGGCUCUCGCAUCGAUGAAGAACGUAGCGAAAUGCGAUACUUGGUGUGAAUUGCAGAAUCCCGUGAACCAUCGAGUCUUUGAACGCAAGUUGCGCCCCAAGCCUUCUGGCCGAGGGCACGUCUGCCUGGGUGUCACAA
rnacentral:rRNA from 4 species